ACCACGCCGGCGCAGUGAUCGAAUGCGGCACCUCUAGCUCUUUUCGUUCAUUCAUGAAUCACACUAUAUAUAAACGCGAUAAGUGCUUGUUUCGUAUCAUUUUUGUUGUGUUGUGGUGGUGAAGUUUGUGUGUAACCUUAUAAAACAAGUUUGUUUUGGAAAACAAUAUAAAAUACGAAUUAAUUGACGUGUGAAAUUAGGAACGGGUUUAGAACCGAUCUACAAGUAGUAUCCAUCGAAAGACCUAUCUGCUUCUCUUAUGUAAAUAAUGGGUAAAAUAGCUACGUACGUAUUCUUAGACAUAACGACUAACGGAUAUCCACUAGAACACCCAUGGUCUAUAGACAUUGCAGAACUAUGUAUGGUAGCAGUAAAACGAAAGUGCAUUGAGAACCGCCAAAUAGAGCCCCGAACUCAGAACAAGUUCAAAAUGUGCUUCUGGAUCUACAGCGGUUUUUAUAAAACUGGUCCAAUAACAGGAUUAAGCAAAGAAGAUUUUUAUGAAGCGAUACAACUUAACGAGGAUGUAUGCAAUGCUAUCAAUUCCUAUCUAAGUUGUCUAGAAAAGCCCGUUUGUAUUAUUGCCCAUGACGGCUUCAAACUUCAGUUCCCAUUACUCAAAGUCAAGUUUAGUAGAUUGACGUGUUCGUUGCCAGAUGACCUCCUGUGCACUGAUAGCAUUUACGCCUUAUAUGACAUAUUGGCCCUAGAAAACAAAGAAGGUACCAAAAGUUCUCGUUCGAAACAUAGUAAACCUGGUGUUAAGGUUUACAAAAAUAUGGUACGGGAAAAUUUUUACGAUAAAGAACCAAAGGAAUCAUACGUAUUGAGUGAUAUUUACUAUAGAGUAAUAAAAGGCAAUCUUUGUUCAUACGAAGCAGAGGAUCACUGUCAAAUGAUUAUGCAAUUAGCGAUCGAGAAAAGUAAAGACUUCGUCGCGUGGGUUGAACGAAACCACUGCCGAUUGUCGGAGGUGCCCUUACUUUAUUGAAUGGGCCAUCAUACAAGCCACUUCAUUCUUCAGUGUAUAUACCAAAGAAAGAAAAAUAACUAGAUUAUAUCGAGGAAUACUUCGACGCCUUAUCAUUUUUCUUUUAUACGUUUUUAAUUUCGAUUUUGUACAUAGUAUUUUAGUUUUAAAAUAUAUUAUUUAUAUAUUAUUAUUACAACAGUGUACAAACAAUUAAAUUUCGGUCAUUUUCCCACAAAACCGGUUUAACGGUUUGACUGUGGGUGGUGAGCCGCAUUGCUUUAUAUAGGUAAAUUUAAAAAAAAAAGUACUCAGUCAUUAUAUAAAGAUAUUUUUUUAAACUUAAUUUUAAAGAGUUUUAAAUAUUUUUUUUUGUCUGAUGUCUGUCGGUAAACUAUUGAGCACAUUUAUGGUACACGUUUAUUUAGAGUUCUAUCGCCAAAAUACCUAUGUAACUUUGGAACAUUAUAUUCACCGGCGGACAUAGACCUUAUUGUGUAUAUUAGUAACUACAGAUACGUCAUGUUCUUUAUCAAGUAUAGAUAUAAGUUUGUAUAUACAGAGUGUAUAUAUUUGUAAAAUGUUAUGCUAUGUUAGUAUUGAAAUAAAAUAAUAUUAUUUAUUCUA
rnacentral:sRNA from 1 species